AUUGAACGCUGGCGGCAGGCCUAACACAUGCAAGUCGCACGAGUGGCGGACGGGUGAGUAAUGUCUGGGAAACUGCCUGAUGGAGGGGGAUAACUACUGGAAACGGUAGCUAAUACCGCAUACCAUCAGAUGUGCCCAGCUGGGAUUAGCUAGUUGGUGUGGUAACGGCUCACAAAGGCGACGAUCCCUAUCUGGUCUGAGAGGAUGACCAGACACACGGGAACGGCGACACGGUCCAGACUCCUACGGGAGGCAGCAGUGGGGAAUAUUGCACAAUGGGCGCAAGCCUGAUGCAGCCAGGCCGAGUGUAUGAAGAAGGCCUUCGGGUUGUAAAGUACUUUCAGCGGGGAGGCGUUACCCGCAGAAGAAGCACCGGCUAACUCCGUGCCAGCAGCCGCGGUAAUUC
rnacentral:rRNA from 1 species